UACGAAGGGUGCUAGCGUUGUUCGGAAUUAUUGGGCGUAAAGCGUAUGUAGGCGGCUUUGUAAGUCGGUUGUGAAAUCCCUGGGCUUAACCUAGGAAUUGCAACCGAAACUGCUUUGCUUGAGUUCGGUAGGGGAUAGUGGAAUUCCUAGUGUAGGGGUGAAAUCCGUAGAUAUUAGGAGGAAUACCAAUGGCGAAGGCAACUAUCUGGGCCGAUACUGACGCUGAGAUACGAAAGCGUGGGGAGCAAACAGG
rnacentral:rRNA from 1 species